rnacentral:lncRNA from 1 species
AAAGGUCUCCACAACCAAAAAGCACUGUGAAUUGUUAGUUGCAUUUUGCCUGGUCACGUGAGUGAAUUUCCUCCUGGAUUGCAUUGAAUCUGCACUGUUUUGGAGACUGGCAGAUCCGUCGUUGAUAAAGCCACAUGUGCAGGGUCAUCAUCAGUUGAUGUACUUCCAUCCUAGCUGAUACUGUUGAUUUUUCCCUGCCAGGAAGCUUCCUGACACAGCCUGCACCCCAGUGGACUUCCCAAAGCAAGUUGAGUCUGACUUCGCACCCCUGACAUCAGAAUCAUCUGACUUCUGGGCACGCCACUGAAUACUGAUGUACCUGAAGGAACCCUGGGUACCAAACAUGCUCAAGUGAAUGAAUGGUGUCCAGGACAAAGCCCAGCAGGGUGUAUGAAGAAAGGGCUUCAGCAGAAACAGAGGCUGAAGCCUGCGUGCUGGGGGCCGAGAGGCCAGAGGAGAAUGUGAUGAGACAUAGAAUUGGUAGUGCAGGAAGUUGGAAGAUCAAGUACCGUGAUGUUGGUGCUGGCUGCUUGUGUUAAACUGCCUAGGUUUUAAUCUACGGUAAUUUUCGCCCACCUGUGGGGCUCCCCUGGUGCCCCAGCUGUGAUGGGGUAACUGAACUGCCACCAGGGCCAAGCUGUCAGUGGCCCAGGAUCUGGCGCUUGGAAGAGUUCUGAGAAGCACCCCUGGAUCAAAUGAGGAGAAACAGACUUCAUCCAUACCUAUUCCCAUUGUAUUUAAAGAAGUGAAUAUUCUCAGGGAUUUCCACAGUUUUAAAAGUGUCUUUCAAUUAAAACAUUUAAAAUAAAAUAAGGUUGAGGUAACAACCAAGUUACACUUCUUCCAGCAGCACCCAGACAGCGAGAGCCCUCAGAUUUUAGAAUUUUAGAAGAGAAGAUUGUGGCCAUGUCUGGAAUUCAAAGAAGAACCAGUGAGAAGAGCUAGAUAGAACUGAUGGAUGCUGAAACAUCUAAUAUUAAAAUAGAAGGGCAACCCUAAAUGAUAAUAUAAAAUUACAAUAUUAAUGGUAGAGUAAUUAAGGAAGCCAUUAAUGU